rnacentral:rRNA from 1 species
CCUACGGGGGGCAGCAGUGAGGAAUAUUGGUCAAUGGGCGCGAGCCUGAACCAGCCAAGUAGCGUGAAGGAUGACGGCCCUACGGGUUGUAAACUUCUUUUAUAAAGGAAUAAAGUGAGGCACGUGUGCCUUUUUGUAUGUACUUUAUGAAUAAGGAUCGGCUAACUCCGUGCCAGCAGCCGCGGUAAUACGGAGGAUCCGAGCGUUAUCCGGAUUGAGUGGGUUUAAAGGGAGCGUAGAUGGGUUGUUAAGUCAGUUGUGACAGUUUGCGGCUCCACCGUAAAAUUGCAAGUGAUCCUGGCAGCCUUGAGUACAGUUGCGGUAGGCGGCCUUCGUGGUGUAGCGGU